GACGAACGCUGGCGGCGUGCUUAGCACAUGCAAGUCGAACGGAAAGGCCCUGCUUUUGUGGGGUGCUCGAGUGGCGAACGGGUGAGUAACACGUGAGUAACCUGCCCUUGACUUUGGGAUAACUUCAGGAAACUGGGGCUAAUACCGGAUAGGAGCUCCUGCUGCAUGGGGGGGGUUGGAAAGUUUCGGCGGUUGGGGAUGGACUCGCGGCUUAUCAGCUUGUUGGUGGGGUAGUGGCUUACCAAGGCUUUGACGGGUAGCCGGCCUGAGAGGGUGACCGGCCACAUUGGGACUGAGGUACGGACCAGACUCCAACGGGAGGCAGCAGUGGGGAAUAUUGCACAAUGGGCGGAAGCCUGAUGCAGCAACGCCGCGUGCGGGAUGACGGCCUUCUGGUUGUAAACCGCUUUCGCCUGUGACGAAGCGUGAGUGACGGUAAUGGGUAAAGAAGCACCGGCUAACUACGUG
rnacentral:rRNA from 1 species